ACGAGUCUUUCCUUCGCCGGAAGGCGUGGGUAAUCUUGUGAAACAUCGUCGUGCUGGGGAUAGAUCAUUGCAAUUAUUGAUCUUGAACGAGGAAUUCCUAGUAAGCGCGAGUCAUCAGCUCGCGUUGAUUACGUCCCUGCCNCUUUGUACACACCGCCCGUCGCUACUACCGAUUGAAUGGUUUAGUGAGGCCUUCUGAUUGGCGCCGCGGCCCCGGCAACGGAGCCGCGGAUUGUCGAAAAGUUGGUCAAACUUGAUCAUUUAGAGGAAGUAAAAGUCGUAACAAGGUUUCCGUAGGUGAACCUGCGGAAGGAUCAUUA
rnacentral:ncRNA from 1 species